rnacentral:ncRNA from 2 species
AAUUUAAAACUUUGUAUUGGAAAUCGCCGUGAAAGUCGGCGGAACUGCCGGUACUGUAUAUCCAGAAAACGAUACAAAAU